GCGAACGCUGGCGGCAGGCCUAACACAUGCAAGUCGAACGAACCUUUCGGGGUUAGUGGCGGACGGGUGAGUAACACGUGGGAACGUGCCUUUAGGUUCGGAAUAACUCAGGGAAACUUGUGCUAAUACCGAAUGUGCCCUUCGGGGGAAAGAUUUAUCGCCUUUAGAGCGGCCCGCGUCUGAUUAGCUAGUUGGUUGAGGUAAUGGCUCACCAAGGCGACGAUCAGUAGCUGGUCUGAGAGGAUGAUCAGCCACAUUGGGACUGAGACACGGCCCAAACUCCUACGGGAGGCAGCAGUGGGGAAUCUUGCGCAAUGGGCGAAAGCCUGACGCAGCCAUGCCGCGUGAAUGAUGAAGGUCUUAGGAUUGUAAAAUUCUUUCACCGGGGACGAUAAUGACGGUACCCGGAGAAGAGGCCCCGGCUAACUUCGUG
rnacentral:rRNA from 1 species